rnacentral:misc_RNA from 1 species
AAAGUCGUAACAAGGUAACCGUAGGUGAACCUGCGGUUGGAUCAUUAUAAAUUGUGUUAUUCUUCUGCGUAACGUCAUUGGAGGGUUAUCCUUUCUUGAGGGUUAUCCUUUCUUGAGGGUUAUCCUUUCUUUGUCGUUACUUGGAGAAUAGUUUUAGCCUUAUCCCUAUAAGGGGAGGUUAAACAAACUACACAUUGUGCACUGUAUUUGUUAUUCCAGCCAGGAAAGAUAGGGUGAUUCCUUCUAGGUCGGCUGGAAAAGUAUUUCAACCCAUUUAAAUUUGACUGAAUUUUGUUAUUAUAAUGAUAAACAACUUUUGACAACGGAUCUCUUGGCUCUC